AGAGCAGUCAUGAUGCCCUGCACUCCACACAAUGCAACAGAGUGAAAGAGCAGGUUCUGCUUCUUUGGUGUAGUCCUGAAGCUUCCUAAGAAACUUCACAUCAGGUGAUGGAUAGGAGCAACCCUGUAAAACCAGCCUUAGACUAUUUUUCAAACAGGCUGGUGAAUUACCAGAUCUCCGUCAAGUGCAGUAACCAGUUCAAGUUGGAAGUGUGUCUUUUGAAUGCAGAAAACAAAGUCGUGGACAACCAGGCUGGGACCCAGGGCCAGCUGAAGGUGCUGGGUGCCAACCUCUGGUGGCCGUACCUGAUGCACGAACACCCCGCCUACCUGUACUCGUGGGAGGAUGGUGAUUGCUCACACCAAAGCCUUGGACCCCUCCCAGCCUGUGACCUUUGGGACCAACUCCACCUACGCAGCAGACAAGGGGGCUCUGUAUGUGGAUGUGAUCCGUGUGAACAGCUACUACUCUUGGUAUCGCAACUACGGGCACCUGGAGUUGAUUCGGCUGCAGCUGGCCGCCCAGUUUGAGAAUUGGUGUAAGACAUCACAAUCCCAUUAUUCAGAGCGCGUAUGGAGUGGAAACGCUUGUAGGGCUUCACCAGGUAAGCGGUGUUGAACUUUCUGCUUGUGUAUUCUCUCUGGGCAGAGAUGCCACUUG
rnacentral:lncRNA from 1 species